UCCAGUGGAGAAACACUCAGGCGCUGUGC
rnacentral:piRNA from 1 species